GACGAACGCUGGCGGCGCGCCUAACACAUGCAAGUCGAACGAGCGAGAGAGAGCUUGCUUUCUUGAGCGAGUGGCGAACGGGUGAGUAACGCGUGAGGAACCUGCCUCAAAGAGGGGGACAACAGUUGGAAACGACUGCUAAUACCGCAUAAGCCCACGGGUCGGCAUCGACCAGAGGGAAAAGGAGCAAUCCGCUUUGAGAUGGCCUCGCGUCCGAUUAGCUAGUUGGUGAGGUAACGGCCCACCAAGGCGACGAUCGGUAGCCGGACUGAGAGGUUGAACGGCCACAUUGGGACUGAGACACGGCCCAGACUCCUACGGGAGGCAGCAGUGGGGAAUAUUGCACAAUGGGGGAAACCCUGAUGCAGCGACGCCGCGUGGAGGAAGAAGGUCUUCGGAUUGUAAACUCCUGUUGU
rnacentral:rRNA from 1 species